UUAAAGGACAAGGUUCACUAAUGGCACAAAAUGGCCUAAAAUAUCAACUUUAUCAUAAAACACCAAAAAGGUCUUAAUUUGGUUCGUAAAUGGGUCUAUUUCAAAAGUAUAAAUGCUAAAUAUAUCAAUUCUUUUCAUAAGACUACAAGAUAUUCGCCAAAGUAAGCCCAUUUUGGACAUUUUGUCAAAAUAUGAUGAUUUUGUGCAUUUUUUAGACCUAAAAGCUUUUGAAACACCUUGACCGCCACCUACGAUCCAGAAUGUGUUGUAACCAAAAGAUUCAAAUUUUGAUAUAGAUUUCAUCAAUAUAAAAACUUUUUGGAUCGUAGAUGGAGGCCAAGGUUAAUUAUGCCAAAAACAAUUAAAAUUAUGGACAAAAAGUACCAAAUUUGACCUUUUAAUACAAAUUAUGCUCAUUUAAGAGGCCAUUGCUCCAUAAAUAGUAAAGGAAAGUGCUAGAAAAAAUAUUUUUGUCUUAGUAGUAUUAUCACAAGUAUUUCUAUGUGACAUUUGUAAUUUUUUACCCAAUUUAAAAAAACAUAAAAAAAUCAGGGCC
rnacentral:lncRNA from 1 species